rnacentral:rRNA from 1 species
UACGUAGGUGGCAAGCGUUGUCCGGAAUUAUUGGGCGUAAAGCGCGCGCAGGUGGUUUCUUAAGUCUGAUGUGAAAGCCCACGGCUCAACCGUGGAGGGUCUUUGGAAACUGGGGAACUUGAGUGCAGAAGAGGAAAGUGGAAUUCCAAGUGUAGCGGUGAAAUGCGUAGAGAUUUGGAGGAACACCAGUGGCGAAGGCGACUUUCUGGUCUGUAACUGACACUGAGGCGCGAAAGCGUGGGGAGCGAACAGG